rnacentral:rRNA from 1 species
GAGGAAGGUAGUGUAGUUAAUAGCUGCAUUAUUUGACGUUAGCGACAGAAGAAGCACCGGCUAACUCCGUGCCAGCAGCCGCGGUAAUACGGAGGGUGCGAGCGUUAAUCGGAAUUACUGGGCGUAAAGCGCAUGCAGGUGGUUUGUUAAGUCAGAUGUGAAAGCCCGGGGCUCAACCUCGGAAUUGCAUUUGAAACUGGCAGACUAGAGUACUGUAGAGGGGGGUAGAAUUUCAGGUGUAGCGGUGAAAUGCGUAGAGAUCUGAAGGAAUACCGGUGGCGAAGGCGGCCCCCUGGACAGAUACUGACACUCAGAUGCGAAAGCGUGGGGAGCAAACAGGAUUAGAUACCCUGGUAGUCCACGCCGUAAACGAUGUCUACUUGGAGGUUGUGGCCUUGAGCCGUGGCUUUCGGAGCUAACGCGUUAAGUAGACCGCCUGGGGAGUACGGUCGCAAGAUUAAAACUCAAAUGAAUUGACGGGGGCCCGCACAAGCGGUGGAGCAUGUGGUUUAAUUCGAUGCAACGCGAAGAACCUUACCUACUCUUGACAUCCAGAGAACUUUCCAGAGAUGGAUUGGUGCCUUCGGGAACUCUGAGACAGGUGCUGCAUGGCUGUCGUCAGCUCGUGUUGUGAAAUGUUGGGUUAAGUCCCGCAACGAGCGCAACCCUUAUCC